rnacentral:piRNA from 1 species
UAAGUGUGUUUUCCUCAUGCUAGUGAC